UGCUGCUGACGGUGAUGGAGGUUCAGUGACUAUUAUAACCAUGUUACUCCAACUAGAGUAAAAUAAAAGAUGCUGUAAUAUCAGAUUUCUUUGUUCCUUCUCCACUCCCCACUGCUUCACUUGACCGGCCUUAA
rnacentral:sRNA from 1 species